CUGGACAUAUAAAUCCCCAUAGUAUUUACAAAAAAACCAGUCAUUUUUAAGUGAAUGGUAUCAUUGUGUGGUGGUGUUAUCUGUGUCUGAAAAGGUAAAUGAGACGAGGUGUUUCCGCACGCACGUUUUCUAGACCCCUUCGCAAGUUCAGCAAUUUGAGGUGAACAGAGGGUACCUCUUUCGCACCUAAAGGUCCGAUCAAAGAAGUAUUCGAGAUGAAAGCAACUAAGCUGGAAGAAGACAUCCGACGCCGCCAAGGUUAUGCCUUGAAUUUACCAAGGCUCUGGUUUCAAAUACCAUAGGAGAAAUCCCAGUUGUGAGAUUUGUACUGAGCGCGCUUUUCGAUGGACUCGUGGAACUAUUUGAAGGAGAUCUCGACCCGAGGACGUAUGCAACAGUUUGGUUGAGGAAAUCAACCGUGAUUUCUCUCUCUUACGAGCCGAGAUAAACAUCAGCGCCCAGAUUAGCGCCCGUUACACAUGCUAAACAAGACGAACCCCAAAGAAUUUCUUAACAUUUGUCCAAUUUACGGACAAAGUGACAAAAGCAAGCUCUAAGUCGUUGUGAUCAAUAACCCACACUUUUACUUCAGCAGAUGUAACAAAACAGGUUUCAGGCUCUCCUCCCCACCUCAUUACUUUCUACGUAAUGUCGCCAAAAAUUACCAGGAAGAGUAAAUGGCAAAAGAAAUCUAAAGAGUAAUUCAUGAAAAUUAAAAAAACAAAUUUUUCUUUUUAAUCCUUUAUUUAAAUCGCACUAAAUCUUUCCUCCAACAAACUAUUUUUACAAAGCUAUAACGAGAAACAAA